ACCAAGGCGACGAUCCCUAGCUGGUCUGAGAGGAUGACCAGCCACACUGGAACUGAGACACGGUCCAGACUCCUACGGGAGGCAGCAGUGGGGAAUAUUGCACAAUGGGCGCAAGCCUGAUGCAGCCAUGCCGCGUGUAUGAAGAAGGCCUUCGGGUUGUAAAGUACUUUCAGCGGGGAGGAAGGGAGUAAAGUUAAUACCUUUGCUCAUUGACGUUAUCCGCAGAAGAAGCACCGGCUAACUCCGUGCCAGCAGCCGCGGUAAUACGGAGGGUGCAAGCGUUAAUCGGAAUUACUGGGCGUAAAGCGCACGCAGGCGGUUUGUUAAGUCAGAUGUGAAAUCCCCGGGCUCAACCUGGGAACUGCAUCUGAUACUGGCAAGCUUGAGUCUCGUAGAGGGGGGUAGAAUUCCAGGUGUAGCGGUGAAAUGCGUAGAGAUCUGGAGGAAUACCGGUGGCGAAGGCGGCCCCCUGGACGAAGACUGACGCUCAGGUGCGAAAGCGUGGGGAGCAAACAGGAUUAGAUACCCUGGUAGUCCACGCCGUAAACGAUGUCGACUUGGAGGUUGUGCCCUUGAGGCGUGGCUUCCGGAGCUAACGCGUUAAGUCGACCGCCUGGGGAGUACGGCCGCAAGGUUAAAACUCAAAUGAAUUGACGGGGGCCCGCACAAGCGGUGGAGCAUGUGGUUUAAUUCGAUGCAACGCGAAGAACCUUACCUGGUCUUGACAUCCACGGAAGUUUUCAGAGAUGAGAAUGUGCCUUCGGGAACCGUGAGACAGGUGCUGCAUGGCUGUCGUCAGCUCGUGUUGUGAAAUGUUGGGUUAAGUCCCGCAACGAGCGCAACCCUUAUCCUUUGUUGCCAGCGGUCCGGCCGGGAACUCAAAGGAGACUGCCAGUGAUAAACUGGAGGAAGGUGGGGACGACGUCAAGUCAUCAUGGCCCUUACGACCAGGGCUACACACGUGCUACAAUGGCGCAUACAAAGAGAAGCGACCUCGCGAGAGCAAGCGGACCUCAUAAAGUGCGUCGUAGUCCGGAUUGGAGUCUGCAACUCGACUCCAUGAAGUCGGAAUCGCUAGUAAUCGUGGAUCAGAAUGCCACGGUGAAUACGUUCCCGGGCCUUGUACACACCGCCCGUCACACCAUGGGAGUGGGUUGCAAAAGAAGUAGGUAGCUUAACCUUCGGGAGGGCGCUUACCACUUUGUGAUUCAUGACUGGGGUGAAGUCGUAACAAGGUAACCGUAGGGGAACCUGCGGUUGGAUCACCUCCUUACCUUAAAGAAGC
rnacentral:rRNA from 1 species